GCUCCGCACCCAAUCCCCCGUCUCCCCAGGCCCCAGCCCCCACCGGACAAACCCUAGCCUCACAUCCCGCACUCCUCCCUCCUCCUCCUUCCUCGUUAGCCGCCGCCGCCGCCGUUCUGCCUCCCUCCUUUCUGUCCUACAACCAUGCCGUCAGGAGGAAGCCGCCGUCCGUGGUGCCAUACCGCUGCUGGGGUGCUGCGCACGCUUUGUUCCCCACAGCCCCUCCCUCAUCCUCGGUCGUCACCGCCGUUGCCUGCUACUCCCCUCCACCACCGUUGCUGCUUCUGGGUCGAAUCUGGCGUUGGUGGGUCGAAGCUCGAGCUAGAGGCCGAGAUGGGGAAGGUCAAAAAAGGAGACCGGAUGGAGGUGCUCGAGGCCGAGGAAGCUGGAGAUGCACAACUAGCUUCACUGGGCAUCCGGUGGUUGGAGCACGGGGCAAUGCUCCAGUUGCGAUGGGGUGGAGCUACGCAGGAGGGGAAGGAGGCUCGCGACAGGGAGCCGGGCCAGGGAGGAGGAAAAGUCUGUGUUGCCCCGUGUUUUUUCUCUUUGUAUUUUUCUCCUACCAUGCAUUUGUUUGUUGCUAGAGUGGAUCCAUGCCACCAAAUUCUUGGAUAAAUAAUGAGUGCCAAGAUAUGUAUGCUGACAAGUGAGUUCAUUAUUUGGAAAAAUAUAAUCAUUAUAUAUGCAUUGCUAACAAUUUUUAUGUUUGAAGCAACCAAUUUUGUGAAAAGAGUAGAGAGAAAGAUACAUGUGCAAUUUCCUUGAUGUUACAGCAGAUGGAUACUCGAUCUUUAAACAUAAGCACAGAUGAGUAGGUAAAAAUUCGGGGAAAGACCAAUGAAAUAACCCUAUAAUUAACCUUAUUCAGUUUAUGAACAUAUAUGUAUGCUACAGAGCAUGAAAUUGGGAAAAUACAAAUAUGAUUGGUGGUUGGUUCACCAUUCAAAAAUUUGAUCCACCAAUUGUGUCUCAGUGAUUUCUACUUGAGCUAAAACCAUGCCAAUAAUUUUGGAAUGAUGGAGUACUUAUUUGUUGUGUAUUUGAUGGUUUGAUAUAAAAAACAUGAAGGUUAAAUCGGGCAUGGUUUUGAUAUAGUUUGUUACAAGAUAUUACAUUGGCUUUCUGGUUUGGAAAUACUUAUAGUCGUUUUCUUCUUGUCAAGGAGAUGUUCAUGUCUAGCUAGCUUCCUAUAAAGGGGAUUUUUUUCUUUUAGUUCACCAGAUGCUGAGGUCUAGCUAGGCUUCCAUGUAGAAAUGUUGUUGUCUUUGAAAGUUUGUUGGGUGCCUCAGCUAAGUUUCUGCAAAGUGGAUUUUUGUUUGUUACUGCCCAGGAGAUGCUCUUGGAUCUAGCUAUAUUCCUAGAAGUUUUUUUGUUGGCUUUCUUGGUUUUUUUGGUACCUUGAUCUUUCCUCGUCGAGAAGGAAUAAAUUUGUCCUGGAGUUCCUUUCCUCUUUAUAGAGGAGUCUUUUAUUCCUUUGCUUGAUCUGGCGCCUGGCAUGGGCAUCCGUUUCAAGUUGGGACGGCAUACAAUCCAUGCAAGUGUAUGUAGUUGUUGUAUGUAUGGCAGAUACAUCAUCUUGCCAAUUAGUCCCCACUAAAAUUAAUUUAUCUCUCCACCUUUUUGGCUCAUGGAUAUCGAUGUGAGUACUAUAGGUAAAUAACUGCUAGAGAUUACCACCCUCGAGUAGGUUUCUCUAAACAGACAAUAGAUGACGGUAUUUCUACUACUGCAGGUUUUUCCAUGGUUGUAAAUGGCAUAUUGGCGUUAUCAGGAGUUGUGGUUCUGGAUUUGUCCGCUGCUCUAUAGAUCUAUUAUUUAAAGAACUGAUGAUAUACAGUGAGUUACCUUGCACCAUUAUUUGGCCUUUCAAGCGCUUGAUUUGAAUUUUUUAAUGUAUUCAAAGUGUCCCUACUUCCUAACAAGCAACCCAUUUGUCAUAUGUAUGUGUUGUCAUCACAAAGUUGUUUUAUGCCCACCCGAAAAGCGCUCACCCAACCAAUCACGUGGAGGUGUGCUUUGCAUUAUUAUCUUUAAUUGAAGUUCUAUUGUGUUGUCAUCAUAUUCAAAACUAUAGUUCUUUACUUGCAGCAUCUUGAAGUGAGCAAUAUUUUGAUGCUUAUUUCCUGAUGAUUUAAGAAGUUUCGUGCACUACCAAACUUAAUUUGAAAACACUAGCUUGUUUUGUAGGAAUUGUCUUUCUUUGCUUCGAACUUGUGAUUUAUGGCUGAUGUCAACUCCAGCUUUUUAGGUGCUUGUCAAGUAUGGGUGGAAAGCUUGACAAUUCGUUUUUAUCUCUAUGAUCUCCUCAUGACCACAACCAUAGUGCAGGAUGCUCCUGCCCAAGUUGUCAUUUAUCUUUGGGUAUUCCUUAAUGUUGGGGCUACUACAUAUCCAGAUCACUAGAUGAUACAAAGGUGUCUUCCCUUCCUUUGUUUAUAUUCCUUUAUGUUGGGGCUGGUGUUAGGUUUCACUGGAUCAAAUUUUAGCUGUUGUUUCUUAUGUUCUAGAGAAGCUAGAGGAGUAAUUAGUGUUCUCUGUUUUUCUAAUGAGUAUAUGUGUGGAACUAUGGGUGCAAACAAAUAGUAAAGGAGCAAUUAACUUUCUCUCUUUUUUGCAAGUAUAUGUGGAUGCGCAUAAAGUGUUGGUUGUCUGCUUAUAUCAAGUAUGGUCUGAUAUUUUGGUCAUAUCAGCCCCAGUAUUGAGCAUACCGACUAAUAUUCUGGUCAUAUUAGCCCCAAUAUUGAGCAUACCAGCUGAUAUUCUACUCAUAUCACACUUUCUACAGUCUACACCAAAUCUGCGAGCACGAUAUCUGAUAUUUGAAUCUUGAAAUUACCAUUAGAAAGGCAAAGAGAUCUUGUAGAAAAAUAGGUUACAUGCUCAGGUAUAUCAUAUAUGGAGAAAAGGCACCUAUCAGCUGUAUUGGUUCUUUCGUAUUUUUGUGCAGUCCUUCUAUUAAUUUUUCUAACUUUCUGGAUUUAUAUUUGAGCAAGAUAAAUAUAUUCCAUCUCUAUCCCAGUACUGAAUCGAAGCUUCAUCAAAUCUAUCUGGGCGUUCAUCGUGUAAUACAAUGUUGAGAUUGAGAACAUUUUCAGAGGGGAACUUAAGAACUAGGAGGGUGCAGAUAAGUAAGAGUUGUUGGCAACAGCAACCUACACAUGUGGAAACAGUGGCUAUGGCGGUUUAAAGGGAAGUUGUGGCUGCUAGACAGCAACUCACAACUUAGUGGCUGCUCAAAGGACAUAUAAUCUAUUUCUUCUUGGAGCUAUCUACUAUAAUAUUAUGACUCGGUGCUAGCUGAAGCUUCUAUUUUCUCGCCUUUUGUGGUGGCGAUUAUUCCUUGGACUGCAGUAAUUCCAUUUGCUACUCCUCAUGUUGCAACCUUUUCCCGUAGAAUCAAAAGGAAUUAGAUGGAAGAAAUUGCAGGAGCUUGCUAUUACUAGAGAAGGAAUGGUAUUCUCGGCUGACAUUCAAAAGCAGUCAAGAUGGUGAAGUUUAGAACGGAGGAGCUCCAUGGAAUUAUGGAUAAAAAAUAUCCAUAACAUGUCUGUCAUUGCUCAUGUCGACCAUGGUAUGUGACGGAGCAGUGACAGUUGUCUCUAAUUGUCAAGUUUAUACGGUAGAAUCUUCUUGAUUGAUGAUUUUAUAGCCUUCUCUUAGUUGUACUGUAUUAAUUCUUAAAACUGGAUCAUUUAAAAUUAGUUAGAUUUAAUGAGUUGUUUCACUGUUUUCAAAUAAGUAGUUUAAGCCCUUAUUGUGUCCCGGAGCUUAUUCUUUCUGCCUUUUUAUGAUUGAUAUAUGCUCUAACAAGCUUAAAUGUAACUAUUGGCAUAUAAUCUCAUGGCUCAAAAUCUUAGUUGUUGAAUGUAUUAAAAUUUAUAAGAUAUGGAGUUUGCACUAUAUUUCAUCCUGCAGUAUUCCCAGUAACUGAAUAUUAAGAGCACCGACGAUCCCAGGUUGUACAUUCGGGAAAUGCUUUUAUUUUGCAGGCCAGUUUUACAUUUACUUCUUCGAUAAGGAGAUGACCAUGAAUAGAGUAUCAUGUUAUUUGCCUUGGCAUUACUGAUGUUGUGUUCAGAUUACUGAAAGAAGGAUUGGUACCCACAAAGGAGUGAAGGGUAGAAAAUAUGUCCAUUGUCAUUGAAUUGGUGGGAUUGUCCCCAAGUUAGUGCUGCAGAUGUUUCUAUUUUAGAGCAAGAAGCCAAAUCAUGCUGUUCGUAAAUCUUGAAAAACUUGUUUGUUGUCACGUCUAUAUCUGUUGUAAACGUUUGUUCGUGAUGUGGUACUUGUCAAUCUUGGUCUGCCCUUCCUUUUCAAGUUUGCCUUAAAUUUCAGCAGACCAACAAGUCCUUGUGUCUUCAAUUGGUUUCUCAUUUCAUGUUUGCACUUGUAUUAUAGUAGAACAACAUGUCAUAAACAUGGCGUUCGGCAUUGUUU